AUUGUCCCUUUGUCUUGAUGGUGUAAGGAAGUGGAAUCUUUUCAGAGCCCUGGCAGUGCUGGGCAGUGAAAAGUUGGAAAACUUGGAUCAUUAGAAGAAAAUUAUCAACUAUGUUUCAAUUCCCACCUUGUUAGAAAUUAUUUAAAACCUUUGUUCCAACAAUUUUUAUUUAGAAACUUUAGCAACAAUAAGAUCACAGAUAUUGAGGAGGGAGCAUUUGAAGGAGCAUCUGGUGUAAAUGAAAUACUUCUUACGAGUAAUCGUUUGGAAAAUGUGCAGCAUAAGAUGUUCAAGGGAUUGGAAAGCCUCAAAACUUUGAUGUUGAGAAGCAAUCGAAUAACCUGUGUGGGGAAUGACAGUUUCAUAGGACUCAGUUCUGUGCGUUUGCUUUCUUUGUAUGAUAAUCAAAUUACUACAGUUGCACCAGGGGCAUUUGAUACUCU
rnacentral:lncRNA from 1 species